UUUUUAUUUUUGGCCGACCGGCCAAAUGUGUAACUUUCCUAAAAAAGAACCCCUUAUAAGAGCAUUCAAAUAGCACCCAAUUGUUUUCCUAUUCAUCAUUUCUGUAUUGCUCUUGCUGGAAUCGUCCUCAUCUGUAUCCCUGUUGCCAUGAAAUCAGCCAAACUUGAGCAAAGGCCACAUUAUCCAGUCCGGCCCAUUCCUUCUCUACUCUGGUGCAAGAAUUUUGGAACAAAAGAUAACUAGUGAUGCAACAAUUGUGGUUAGCUGUGUUUGACCAUCUUACCUUCUAUAUUAGGAUGUUAAAGUUGUGUUACUUCAUGGUACCUUUCUUUGAACCCAGUGUUACAACAUGAUGAAGAUGUUCAUGAAUAAGAAACACUUAUACUUGCUCUGUUACAAUGUGUAAGGCAGAUGAUUUAGUGAUGGUUUCCGUUUUUAACUGCAUUUUCUGUGAAUCAAGAGAACCUUUCUCAUUAUCAGCUGAAAGGUGGUCUGGGGUUGUGCAAGAGCAUAUUCCUCUCUGUAAAUAAGGGAUUUAAUUUUUCUAACAAAGUGCAGGCUUUCGUAGACUGUUCAUUCCUUUCUGUUAAAUGCUUAACCAUACCCUCCACACUUGUAUCGGUAUAGUAACAGGAAAAACCCGGUAAGCAAUCCAUAAAGGGCUGGAGUACAAUUAUACCUAAAAGAUUUUAUAUCUAUUUAACCUUGCAAGGGGUUUAUGUCUUCCGUAAGAGGUAUUCAGCAACGUUAGUGUGCAGGCAAGGUGAUACAAGCUUCCCUCUCUCUAGAAGUUUGGAAUGAGAAGUCUGUUCCUUUUAACUUGUGCUGAUUGCUGCGUCGCAUAAAUAGCAGUAGAACCAUUUAACACAAACUAUUACAACAGGAAGAGCAAGAAAGUCUUAAAGAGGACGGUUGGAAAGACCAUUUCCAUUAGCAAAAGGAAUUGGCCAACUUCUACGUGCAACAUGUCUUUCUUCUCAUUAGUUGCACUAGUUCUUGUAAGCAUCUUUUAUAGUCCAACUAUUUUCUGUAAAACUUGCUGCUGGCUUCGAAGACACUCGAUCUAACUUAUUAGUUUAUCAACACAAUGUAUGACUCAACGUACGUUGUAUUAAGCACAUUUUGGUGGUGUUUGCAUCAUGCAUGGACAUGUUAGUCUCUAGUAUCCAUCAUAUUUGUAGCUUCUAUAUUGGAAUAAUGAAAUAAACAGCUCAUUUCUCCAAAUUCAUAGGU